ACCAACAGGGAUUACCUCAGUAACGGCGAGUGAAGCGGUAACAGCUCAAAUUUGAAAUCUGGCUCUCGGGCCCGAGUUGUAAUUUGUAGAAGAUGCUUUGGGUGUGGCUCCGGUCUAAGUUCCUUGGAACAGGACGUCAUAGAGGGUGAGAAUCCCGUACGUGACUGGUCGCCUUCCCCGUGUAAAGCUCUUUCGACGAGUCGAGUUGUUUGGGAAUGCAGCUCAAAAUGGGUGGUAUAUUUCAUCUAAAGCUAAAUAUUGGCCAGAGACCGAUAGCGCACAAGUAGAGUGAUCGAAAGAUGAAAAGCACUUUGGAAAGAGAGUUAAACAGUACGUGAAAUUGUUGAAAGGGAAGCGCUUGCAACCAGACUUGCAGGCUGCUGAUCAUCCGGGGUUCUCCCCGGUGCACUCGGCAGUUUUCAGGCCAGCAUCGGUUUGGGUGGUGGGAUAAAGGCCUUGGGAAUGUGGCUCUCUUCGGGGAGUGUUAUAGCCCAAGGUGCAAUGCCGCCUACCUGGACCGAGGACCGCGCUUCGGCUAGGAUGCUGGCGUAAUGGUUGUAAGCGACCCGUCUUGAAACACGGACCAAGGAGUCUAACAUCUAUGCGAGUGUUUGGGUGUUAAACCCAUGCGCGUAAUUAACGUGAACGGAGGUAAGAACCCUUAAGGGUGCAUUAUCGACCGAUCCUGAUGUCUUCGGAUGGAUUUGAGUAAGAGCAUAGCUGUUGGGACCCGAAAGAUGGUGAACUAUGCCUGAAUAGGGUGAAGCCAGAGGAAACUCUGGUGGAGGCUCGCAGCGGUUCUGACGUGCAAAUCGAUCGUCAAAUUUGGGUAUAGGGGCGAAAGACUAAUCGAAC
rnacentral:rRNA from 1 species